UACAGAGGGUGCGAGCGUUGUCCGGAAUCACUGGGCGUAAAGGGCGCGUAGGUGGUGGCUUAAGCGUGCGGUGAAAGCUCGGGGCUCAACCCCGAGUCGGCCGUGCGAACUGGGCUCACUGGAGCAUAGUAGAGGCAGGUGGAAUUCCGGGUGUAGCGGUGGAAUGCGUAGAGAUCCGGAAGAACACCGGUGGCGAAGGCGGCCUGCUGGGCUAUGGGCUGACACUGAGGCGCGACAGCGUGGGGAGCAAACAGGG
rnacentral:rRNA from 1 species